GAUGAACGCUGGCGGCGUGCCUAAUACAUGCAAGUCGAGCGAACAGACGAGGAGCUUGCUCCUCUGACGUUAGCGGCGGACGGGUGAGUAACACGUGGAUAACCUACCUAUAAGACUGGGAUAACUUCGGGAAACCGGAGCUAAUACCGGAUAAUAUAUUGAACCACAUGGUUCAAUAGUGAAAGACGGUUUUGCUGUCACUUAUAGAUGGAUCCGCGCCGCAUUAGCUAGUUGGUAAGGUAACGGCUUACCAAGGCGACGAUGCGUAGCCGACCUGAGAGGGUGAUCGGCCACACUGGAACUGAGACACGGUCCAGACUCCUACGGGAGGCAGCAGUAGGGAAUCUUCCGCAAUGGGCGAAAGCCUGACGGAGCAACGCCGCGUGAGUGAUGAAGGUCUUCGGAUCGUAAAACUCUGUUAUUAGGGAAGAACAAAUGUGUAAGUAACUAUGCACGUCUUGACGGUACCUAAUCAGAAAGCCACGGCUAACUACGUA
rnacentral:rRNA from 1 species